rnacentral:rRNA from 1 species
CCUACGGGCGGCAGCAGUGAGGAAUAUUGGUCAAUGGUCGGGAGACUGAACCAGCCAAGCCGCGUGAGGGAUGAAGGUACAGAGUAUCGUAAACCCCUUUUGUCAGGGAACAAAGGCGGGGACGCGUCCUCGGAUGAGUGUACCUGAAGAAAUAGCAUCGGCUAACUCCGUGCCAGCAGCCGCGGUAAUACGGAGGGUGCCAGCGUUAUACGGAUGUACUGGGGGUAAAGGGUGCGCAGGCGGUCUGUUAAGUCAGCGGUCAAAGCCCGGGGCUCAACCCCGGCCCCGCCGUUGAACCUGGCAGUCUCGAGUUGGGGAGAAGUAUGCGGAAUGCGCGGUGUAGCGGUGAAAUGCAUAGAUA